GGAAAGGCUCAGAGGUAGAGCAUCUGCUUGCAGAUUUGCUUGCAGAAAAUCCCAGGUUCAAUCCCCGACAUCUCCA